UACAGAGGGGGCGAGCGUUGUUCGGAUUUACUGGGCGUAAAGGGCGCGUAGGCGGCCUUGUCAGUCAGGCGUGAAAGCCCCGGGCUCAACCUGGGAACGGCGCUUGGGACGGCGAGGCUGGAGUUCGGGAGAGGAGAGUGGAAUUCCCAGUGUAGAGGUGAAAUUCGUAGAUAUUGGGAAGAACACCGGUGGCGAAGGCGGCUCUCUGGACCGACACUGACGCUGAGGCGCGAAAGCGUGGGGAGCAAACAGG
rnacentral:rRNA from 1 species